rnacentral:tRNA from 1 species
GUGGGGCUGUGGCUCAGUGGUAGAGUGCUUGCCUAGCACGUGCAAGACCCUGGGUUCAAUCCUCAGCACCACA